UGGGGAAUAUUGGACAAUGGGGGGAACCCUGAUCCAGCCAUGCCGCGUGUGUGAAGAAGGCCUUAUGGUUGUAAAGCACUUUAAGCGAGGAGGAGGGUACUGGUAUUAAUACUACCAGCUACUGGACGUUACUCGCAGAAUAAGCACCGGCUAACUCUGUGCCAGCAGCCGCGGUAAUACAGAGGGUGCGAGCGUUAAUCGGAUUUACUGGGCGUAAAGCGUGCGUAGGCGGCUAAUUGAGUCGGAUGUGAAAUCCCCGAGCUUAACUUGGGAAUUGCAUUCGAUACUGGUUAGCUAGAGUGUGGGAGAGGAUGGUAGAAUUCCAGGUGUAGCGGUGAAAUGCGUAGAGAUCUGGAGGAAUACCGAUGGCGAAGGCAGCCAUCUGGCCUAACACUGACGCUGAGGUACGAAAGCAUGAGGAGCAAACAGG
rnacentral:rRNA from 1 species